rnacentral:rRNA from 1 species
UACGGGGGGAGCAAGCGUUGUUCGGAUUUACUGGGCGUAAAGGGCGCGUAGGCGGUCAGCACAAGUCAGUUGUGAAAUCUCCGGGCUUAACUCGGAAAGGUCAACUGAUACUGUGCGACUAGAGUGCAGAAGGGGCAACUGGAAUUCUUGGUGUAGCGGUGAAAUGCGUAGAUAUCAAGAGGAACACCUGCGGCGAAGGCGGGUUGCUGGGCCGACACUGACGCUGAGGCGCGAAAGCCAGGGGAGCGAACGGG